rnacentral:tRNA from 1 species
GUCUGGAUAACUUAAAUUUAAAGUAAAAUAUUGAAGAUAUUAAAAUGGAUAAUAUCCUUCAGAUA